UACGGGGGGAGCAAGCGUUGUUCGGAUUUACUGGGCGUAAAGGGCGCGUAGGCGGCCAGCACAAGUCAGUUGUGAAAUCUCCGAGCUUAACUCGGAAAGGUCAACUGAUACUGUGCGGCUAGAGUGCGGAAGGGGCAACUGGAAUUCUUGGUGUAGCGGUGAAAUGCGUAGAUAUCAAGAGGAACACCUGCGGCGAAGGCGGGUUGCGUGGGCCGACACUGACGCUGAUGCGCGAAAGCUAGGGGAGCGAACGGG
rnacentral:rRNA from 1 species